rnacentral:rRNA from 1 species
GUGGGGAAUAUUGGGCAAUGGGGGAAACCCUGACCCAGCGACGCCGCGUGAGGGAAGACGGCCUUCGGGUUGUAAACCUCUUUUGUACGGGAAGAAGGAAGUAACGGUACUGUACGAAUAAGUCCCGGCUAACUACGUGCCAGCAGCCGCGGUAAUACGUAGGGGACGAGCGUUGUCCGGAAUUACUGGGCGUAAAGGGCGCGCAGGCUGUGCUGCAAGUCAGCUGUGAAAUGUCUGGGCUUAACCCGGGCAUGCGGUUGAGACUGCAGUGCUGGAGUGCUGUAGAGGCAAGUGGAAUUCCCAGUGUAGCGGUGAAAUGCGUAGAUAUUGGGAAGAACACCGGUGGCGAAGGCGACUUGCUGGGCAGCAACUGACGCUGAGGCGCGAAAGCCAGGGGAGCAAACGGGAUUAGAAACCCCGGUAGUCC